GCCUCAUGUCUCACACCUCCAGUCUCCCAGCAGGAAGAAUAAUGUUCAAGUAAGCUAUGCAGCAUAACUUUAUUUCUUCACUACAAAACCAUGCAAAUGAGUACUGAUAGAGCACUGCCUGCUUUGGAGUCAGAUUAAUCUUGCUGAAGCUCAUGCAGCAGAAAACCAUCAAGCAAAAUCAGUGUAGGAAAUCUACUGCUUGAAGAGUUAAGCCAGAAGAACUUCACAUUGUGUGGGGAAGACUGGGUUAAUAUGAGGCGCCUUGACAUAUCAGUCCUGAUUUACUGCACCUUACAAGAACUUAGAGGGAAGGUUGGAGACAUUCUUUCCCAACUGGGAACUACUGAAUGGAAUUGCUGUGAAGUACUGCUUCAUCAGUAUUCAGGAGAGUGAUGUUCACUACAGCUGGUUGAGAGAUGCUGCUUCUGCUGGAGAGGUAAUGCUGCAUGCCUCUCCACUUCUCUGGGAAUCUUUCUACUC
rnacentral:lncRNA from 1 species